rnacentral:tRNA from 1 species
GGGUGACGCGGAUCGGGCACCGACAGGUCGCCGGCCAUGCCGCGGCCGGAGAACGCCGGUUCCAGACCCGCGUCGGCGGC